UGGGAUGUUGUAUGGUCUUUAGGCUAACGC
rnacentral:piRNA from 1 species